AGGACGACGCUGGCGGCGUGCCUAAUACAUGCAAGUCGAACGGUCUUUCUAUGGAAGCUUGCUUCCACUGAGAAGAUAGUGGCGAACGGGUGAGUAACACGGUGGGUAACCUGCCCAUAAGAGGGGGGAUAACAUCCGGAAACGGGUGCUAAUACCGCAUAGUUUUCUUGAUUGCAUGAUCGGGAAAGGAAAGACGGCCUUUGUGCUGUCGCUUAUGGAUGGACCCGCGGCGUAUUAGUUAGUUGGUGAGGUAACGGCUCACCAAGACGAUGAUACGUAGCCGACCUGAGAGGGUGAUCGGCCACAUUGGGACUGAGACACGGCCCAAACUCCUACGGGAGGCAGCAGUAGGGAAUCUUCCGCAAUGGACGAAAGUCUGACGGAGCAACGCCGCGUGAGUGAAAGAAGGUUUUCGGAUCGUAAAACUCUGUUGUCAGAGAAGAACAAGUUGGAGAGUAACUGCUCCAGCCUUGACGGUAUCUGACCAGAAAGCCACGGCUAACUACGUGCCAGCCGCCGC
rnacentral:rRNA from 1 species